rnacentral:rRNA from 1 species
UAGGGAAUAUUGGACAAUGGGCGAAAGCCUGAUCCAGCAAUGCCGCGUGAGCGAUGAAGGCCUUAGGGUUGUAAAGCUCUUUUACCCGAGAAGAUAAUGACGGUAACCGGAGAAGAAGCCCCGGCUAACUUCGUGCCAGCAGCCGCGGUAAUACGAAGGGGGCUAGCGUUGUUCGGAUUUACUGGGCGUAAAGCGCACGUAGGCGGACUUUUAAGUCAGGGGUGAAAUCCCAGAGCUCAACUCUGGAACUGCCUUUGAUACUGGAAGUCUUGAGUAUGGUAGAGGUGAGUGGAAUUCCGAGUGUAGAGGUGAAAUUCGUAGAUAUUCGGAGGAACACCAGUGGCGAAGGCGGCUCACUGGACCAUUACUGACGCUGAGGUGCGAAAGCGUGGGGAGCAAACAGGAUUAGAUACC